GACGAACGCUGGCGGCGUGCUUAACACAUGCAAGUCGAACGGAAAGGCCCUGCUUUUGUGGGGUGCUCGAGUGGCGAACGGGUGAGUAACACGUGAGUAACCUGCCCUUGACUUUGGGAUAACUUCAGGAAACUGGGGCUAAUACCGGAUAGGAGCUCCUGCUGCAUGGUGGGGGUUGGAAAGUUUCGGUGGUUGGGGAUGGACUCGCGGCUUAUCAGCUUGUUGGUGGGGUAGUGGCUUACCAAGGCUUUGACGGGUAGCCGGCCUGAGAGGGUGACCGGCCACAUUGGGACUGAGAUACGGCCCAGACUCCUACGGGAGGCAGCAGUGGGGAAUAUUGCACAAUGGGCGGAAGCCUGAUGCAGCAACGCCGCGUGCGGGAUGACGGCCUUCGGGUUGUAAACCGCUUUCGCCUGUGACGAAGCGUGAGUGGCGGUAAUGGGUAAAGAAGCACCGGCUAACUACGUG
rnacentral:rRNA from 1 species